rnacentral:rRNA from 1 species
CUCAGAAACUUAAAGGAAUUGACGGGGAGCACCACAACGGGUGGAGCCUGCGGUUUAAUUGGAUCAACGCCGGACAACUCACCGGAUACGACAGCGGAAUGAUAGCCGGGCUGAAGACUCUGCUUGACUAGCUGAGAGGAGGUGCAUGGCCGUCGUCAGUUCGUACUGUGAAGCAUCCUGUUAAGUCAGGCAACGAGCGAGACCCACGCCAACAGUUGCCAGCAUGAUCUCCGGAUUGAUGGGGACACUGUUGGGACCGCCUCUGCUAAAGGGGAGGAAGGAAUGGGCAACGGUAGGUCAGCAUGCCCCGAAUUAUCCGGGCUACACGCGGGCUACAAUGGAUGGGACAAUGGGUUUCGACACCGAAAGGUGAAGGUAAUCUCCUAACCCCACCCGUAGUUCGGAUUGCGGGCUGCAACUCGCCCGCAUGAAGCUGGAAUCCGUAGUAAUCGCGUCUCACGAUGGCGCGGUGAAUAUGUCCCUGCUCCUU